AGAUUGAACGCUGGCGGCAUGCCUAACACAUGCAAGUCGAACGGGAGUAGCAAUACUCUAGUGGCGGACGGGUGAGGAAUACGUAGGAAUUUGCCCUUAAGUGGGGGAUAACCCGGGAAACCCGGAUUAAUACCGCAUGACCUCGAAAGAGCAAAGUGGGGGAUCGCAAGACCUCACGCUUUUGGAGAAGCCUACGUCGGAUUAGCUAGUUGGUGAGGUAAUGGCUCACCAAGGCGACGAUCCGUAACUGGUCUGAGAGGAUGAUCAGUCACACCGGAACUGAGACACGGUCCGGACUCCGUACGGGAGCAGCGAGGUAGGGAAUAGUGGACGAAGUGGGCGACAACGCCGUGACUCCAGCAAUCGCCGCGUGUGUAGAAGAACGGCCGUUCGGGUUAGUAA
rnacentral:rRNA from 1 species